CCGUCCCUCUAAGAAAUCCUAUCCCUCCUGCCCACCACCCGCUGCCACCCCCACUCCACCCACGACCAAACUACCUCCGGCCCGCUCCCCCUGGCGGCGCCGACCCCACCCGCUCCGGCCACACCUCUCGUGACUCGCCCCACUUGCCUCUCUCCCAGCUCCGGCGGACGGGCGGGAGGUCGGACCCAUCCGCCGCCGUGCCGCCCAACCCCUGUCAACCUUCUACCGCGGCCGCCGUCGGAGCACCACUCCAAGUCGCCGCCGUGCCGCCUCACCCUCCACCCACCUUCCACCGGCGCUGUCGCGCGUCGUCCCGCCCGCCCUUCUUCGCAUCACAAGCCGGCCUCCCCAACCACGGCAAUCCCCACCACCAUCGCUGGAUUCGAUUGCCUCCGGAUCCAGCAGCCCUGCACCCCUCGGCCUUCCCUCUGCACGCCGUCGUUCUCCCCUGGAGUACCCAGAUUUCGAGAUCACCGCGUCGCCAUGAAUCCCCCCGGAUCUAGGUGGCGGAUGUCCCCGUCGGCCUCCUCUUGUCUGUCCUCCACGAGGGGGUGUAGUCAUGAAGGGGGAGCACCACAUCUCAGAUCCACUAGGCGGCACCGCCGUGGCCCUUCGUCGCGUGCUCGGAUCCAGCCGGGCUUUCUCAUUGCUGUGAGCGGAGGACCCCGGGCAGAGGACCACUUGACGUGGCCCAUGCAGCGACGAGCGGGGCGGGCUCCAUUCCUCUCCCGGCCGAGACCGUGCUCCUCUCGGGACACAGCGACCUCCAGCACGCGACACCACCACCCCUCCCUUCCUACAGAGCUUGCAUCUCGCCGGCGUGUGGGUGUGCAGCUCAUAGGAAAAGGCGUUGAGCCACUGGUGCAGUUCGCCAGGGAUCUCCAAAUUGUUCGGUUGCCCUCGUAUGCGGUUCAGAGCGUGUGGCGCUGGUGUUUUUAUGUCCAGUUCAUUUUCUCACGAGUGCAACUCCCUUUUCUCUUCACGACUGUUUACUUUUCUCAUCUAUGCAGUGCUCGUGGGUCGUCCGAUGGUGCUCUUGUGGAAUAACACAUAGUUCUCCGUUGCCUACCACAUAUAUGUUCGUUUUGGGGAGCGGUACGUUCUUUGUGGACGUGCACUUCGUUCGGCACCGAGCGGCAUGAAGCUCAGUUUGCACGCGCGUGCAGCUCUGCUACCUAUUUCGUGCAGUUCUUUUUCUAAUUCAAUUUGUUUUGUUUGUGGGACGAUUGAAAAUUUAAGUUCAAUCCAUUUAUGUAGCAGCUCAUUACCCCUUUGUUUGAAGUGCAAUUUGUUUUGUGUGUCUCAAAAUUCAGUCAACUA